GCUGGCUACAGCUCAAAUUUGAAAUCUGGCUCUCGGGCCCGAGUUGUAAUUUGUAGAGGAUGCUUUUGAUGCGGUGCCUUCCGAGUUCCCUGGAACGGGACGCCAUAGAGGGUGAGAGCCCCGUCUGGUUGGAUGCCAAAUCUCUGUAAAGCUCCUUCGACGAGUCGAGUAGUUUGGGAAUGCUGCUCUAAAUGGGAGGUAUAUGUCUUCUAAAGCUAAAUACCGGCCAGAGACCGAUAGCGCACAAGUAGAGUGAUCGAAAGAUGAAAAGCACUUUGAAAAGAGAGUUAAAAAGUACGUGAAAUUGUUGAAAGGGAAGCGUUUAUGACCAGACUUGGGCUUGGUUAAUCAUCUGGGGUUCUCCCCAGUGCACUUUUCCAGUCCAGGCCAGCAUCAGUUUUCGCCGGGGGAUAAAGGCUUCGGGAAUGUGGCUCUCUCCGGGGAGUGUUAUAGCCCGUUGCGUAAUACCCUGGCGGGGACUGAGGUUCGCGCAUCUGCAAGGAUGCUGGCGU
rnacentral:rRNA from 1 species